GACGAACGCUGGCGGCGUGCUUAACACAUGCAAGUCGAACGGUAAGGCCCUUCGGGGUACACGAGUGGCGAACGGGUGAGUAACACGUGGGUGCUCUGCCCUGCACUUCGGGAUAAGCCUGGGAAACUGGGUCUAAUACCGGAUAGGACCCUGGGAUGCAUGUCGUGGGGUGGAAAGCUUUUGCGGUGUGGGGUGGGGCCGCGGCCUAUCAGCUUAUUGGUGGGGGGAUGGCCGACCAAGGCGACGACAGGUAGCCGGCCUGAGAGGGUGACCGGCCACACUGGGACUGAGAUACGGCCCAGACUCCUACGGGAGGCAGCAGUGGGGAAUAUUGCACAAUGGGCGCAAGCCUGAUGCAGCGACGCCGCGUGAGGGAUGACGGCCUUCGGGUUGUAAACCUCUUUCAGCACCGACGAAGCGCAAGUGACGGUAGGUGCAGAAGAAGGACCGGCCAACUACGUGCCAGCCGCCGCGGUAA
rnacentral:rRNA from 1 species